rnacentral:rRNA from 1 species
AACGAACGCUGGCGGCAGGCUUAAUACAUGCAAGUCGAGGGGCAGCGGGGAUAGCAAUAUCUGCCGGCGACCGGCAAACGGGUGCGGAACACGUACGCAACCUUCCCGGAACAGGUGAAUAGCCCUGCGAAAGUAGGAUUAAUACACCGUAUGAUAUUUUGGUGGCAUCACUUUGAUAUUAAAGGUAGCAAUACCGGUUCUGGAUGGGCGUGCGCCUGAUUAGGUAGUUGGUGCGGGUAAUGGCCCACCAAGCCUUCGAUCAGUAACUGGUGUGAGAGCACGACCAGUCACACGGGCACUGAGACACGGGCCCGACUCCUACGGGAGGCAGCAGUAAGGAAUAUUGGUCAAUGGACGCAAGUCUGAACCAGCCAUGCCGCGUGC